GCCCUUAUGGCGGAAUUGGUAGACGCGAUAGACUCAAAAUCUAUUGUUUGCAAGAACGUACUGGUUCGAGUCCGGUUAAGGGUA
rnacentral:tRNA from 1 species